UACAGAGGGGGCAAGCGUUGUUCGGAUUUACUGGGCGUAAAGGGCGCGUAGGCGGCCACCGCAAGUCGACUGUGAAAUCUCCGGGCUUAACUCGGAAAGGUCAGCCGAUACUGCGGGGCUAGAGUGCAGAAGGGGCAACUGGAAUUCUCGGUGUAGCGGUGAAAUGCGUAGAUAUCGAGAGGAACACCUGCGGCGAAGGCGGGUUGCUGGGCUGACACGUGACGCUGAGGCGCGAAAGCUAGGGAGCGAACGGG
rnacentral:rRNA from 1 species